AGAAUGUGGACCUAAAAAUAGA
rnacentral:tRNA from 1 species